GCACUCAAAUCUUUCCCAGCCCUGCUGCUUGGUGCCGGUCUGGGGACAGAUGGUGCUAUAGUAGAGCAGAGGAAAUCCAGACGGGUCGCUUCCAUUUGUCCUGGGGCCUGUCUCUACAGCUCUGCCACACUU